GCUCCUGUGGUGUAGCGGCCAAUCAUGAAGCCCUCUCGAGGCUUCGACGCGGAUUCGAAUUCCGCCGGGAGCACCA
rnacentral:tRNA from 1 species